UACGGGGGGGCAAGCGUUGUUCGGAAUUACUGGGCGUAAAGGGCGUCGUGAGGUGGCCAACUAAGUCAGACGUGAAAUCCCUCAGCUUAACUGGGGAACUGCGUCUGAUACUGGAUGGCUUGAGAUUGGGAGAGGGAUGCGGAAUUCCAGGUGUAGCGGUGAAAUGCGUAGAUAUCUGGAGGAACACCGGUGGCGCAAGGCGGCAUCCUGGACCAACACUGACACUGAGGAGCGAAAGCCAGGGGAGCAAACGGG
rnacentral:rRNA from 1 species